rnacentral:rRNA from 1 species
GUGGGUAACCUACCCUGUACACACGGAUAACAUACCGAAAGGUAUGCUAAUACGGGAUAAUAUAUUUGAGAGGCAUCUCUUAAAUAUCAAAGGUGAGCCAGUACAGGAUGGACCCGCGUCUGAUUAGUUAGUUGGUAAGGUAACGGCUUACCAAGGCGACGAUCAGUAGCCGACCUGAGAGGGUGAUCGGCCACAUUGGAACUGAGACACGGUCCAAACUCCUACGGGAGGCAGCAG